AUUGAACGCUGGCGGCAUGCUUUACACAUGCAAGUCGAACGGUAGAGGGGGCAACCCCUUGAGAGUGGCGAACGGGUGAGUAAUGCAUCGGAACGUGCCCAGUCGUGGGGGAUAACGCAGCGAAAGCUGUGCUAAUACCGCAUACGAUCUCUGGAUGAAAGCGGGGGACCGAAAGGCCUCGCGCGAUUGGAGCGGCCGAUGUCAGAUUAGGUAGUUGGUGGUGUAAAGGCUCACCAAGCCAACGAUCUGUAGCUGGUCUGAGAGGACGACCAGCCACACUGGGACCGGGACACGGCCCAGAGUCCUACGGGAGGCAGCAGUGGGGAAUUUUGGACAAUGGGCGCAAGCCUGAUCCAGCAAUGCCGCGUGCAGGAAGAAGGCCUUCGGGUUGUAAACUGCUUUUGUACGGAACGAAAAGGUUUGGGUUAAUACCCUGGGCCGAUGACGGUACCGUAAGAAUAAGCACCGGCUAACUACGUGCCAGCCGCCGCCGUAA
rnacentral:rRNA from 1 species